AGGGAUGUAGCUCAGGGGUAGAGCAGCUGCUCUGAGUACAGAAGGCCCUGGGUUCAAACCCUGGCAUCUCCA